rnacentral:rRNA from 1 species
CAAGGCGACGAUGGUUAGCUGGUCUGAGAGGAUGAUCAGCCACACUGGAACUGAGACACGGUCCAGACUCCUACGGGAGGCAGCAGUGAGGAAUAUUGCGCAAUGGGGGCAACCCUGACGCAGCAACGCCGCGUGAGUGAGGAAGGUUUUCGGACCGUAAAGCUCUGUCGAGCGGGAAGAAAUGCAUGGUGGCUAAUAUCCAUCAUGCUUGACGGUACCGCUAAAGGAAGCACCGGCUAACUCCGUGCCAGCAGCCGCGGUAAUACGGGGGGUGCGAGCGUUGUUCGGAAUUAUUGGGCGUAAAGAGCGUGUAGGCGGCCGAAUAAGUCAGAUGUGAAAUCCCUGGGCUUAACCCAGGACGUGCAUUUGAAACUAUUCGGCUAGAGUAGGGGAGAGGAAAGUGGAAUUCCUGGUGUAGAGGUGAAAUUCGUAGAUAUCAGGAGGAACACCGGUGGCGAAGGCGACUUUCUGGCCCUAUACUGACGCUGAGACGCGAGAGCGUGGGUAGCAAACAGGAUUAGAUACCCUGGUAGUCCACGCUGUAAACGAUGUUCACUAGGUGUUGGGGGUAUUGACCCUCUCAGUGCCGCAGCUAACGCA